GACGUAGGGCGCGAGCGUUGUCCGGAUUUAUUGGGCGUAAAGAGCUCGUAGGCGGCUUGUCGCGUCGUCCGUGAAAACCCACAGCUCAACUGUGGGCUUGCGGUCGAUACGGGCAGGCUAGAGUUCGGUAGGGGAGACUGGAAUUCCUGGUGUAGCGGUGAAAUGCGCAGAUAUCAGGAGGAACACCGGUGGCGAAGGCGGGGUCUCUGGGCCGAUACUGACGCUGAGGAGCGAAAGCGUGGGGGAGCGAACAGGA
rnacentral:rRNA from 1 species